rnacentral:rRNA from 1 species
ACUACGACUCUCGACAAUGGAUAUCUCGGCUCUCGCUUCGAUGAAGAACGUAGCGAAAUGCGAUACCUUGUGUGAAUUGCAGAAUCCCGUGAAUCAUCGAAUCUUUGAACGCAAGUUGCGCCCGAGGCCUAGGCUGAGGGCACGUCUGCCUGGGUGUUGUGAAA